GUCAGGAUGGCCGAGCGGUCUAAGGCGCCAGACUCAAGGUUCAAUACCUUCCGUUGUAAUGGGUGUUCUGGUCUCCGAAUGGAGGCGUGGGUUCGAAUCCCACUUCUGACA